UUCCUGCAUCUGUACGAGUCAGGAGAGAGUCUGUGCUCCCAAAACCAAAGGCGAAGCCAACGACUACCAUGGCAACCAACAGGCCACCUGCAGCUGCACCUGUCGUGAGGCAAGAAUCCAGUAGUUCAUCAUCUGCACCAAAGCCACAGAGUAUUGAUGACUCGUACAUGGCAUUUUUGGAGGACAUGAAAGCACUUGGUGCCCUUGAUAAGUGAACUGCUUCAUCCAAUGGAAAGGUGCGAAAGCAACUACCCGAUCGCAUACAAAGUGGAAGAAAUCAUGUACAGACUAUUGUGAUGCAGGUAAGGGUUAUGCUAGGUCUGGAAGAAAGGAAAUUGUAAGGGUUAUGCUAAGUCUGGAAGAAACGAAAUUGUAUCUUAACUGAUUGACAAUCUUGUUUGUUUUUCUUUUUUUCUUUAUUUCAUGGUUUUCCGUACUUAUAUUGUGACAUUGGCUAUACAUUUGAGUUGGUCCUGA